rnacentral:tRNA from 1 species
CCCGCGGUAGCUCAGCCUGGUAGAGCGCCCGGCUGUAAACCGGGUGGUCGCAGGUUCAAAUCCUGCCCGCGGGA